CAGGAGGAAGGGUAGGGGGGGCCAAGUUGGCCAGGCCCUUCUUGAUGCUGAAUGGCAGGAGGACUUUGAAGAAGUGACAGGGUCAGAGGUGCCAUCCAGAAAGAUCACCCUGAUCAGAGCUGGGAGAAUGGAGGUGCCGGGCAGGAGCAGAUGCCAGGGCCUGCUUGGAGGCAACUGGAAUACUCCAGAGAUAACCGCUGGUAAGAGUUUGGCUUAUAUUCUUCUACAUUUUUUUCCCCACAAGAAACUGAAAUUUGAAUUUUCUUCUACAAGUGAGAAAAAAAAAAAGUAAAAUCUCUAACUGUCUUAGUGAUGAUAAUUCUGAGAAGACAGGCCCAUUGAGCCAAGUAGGAGGAUAGGUUUCCUGAGGAUGGAGAUGCAGAAAUAGUUGACUUUGCCUUCACGAAGCAUCCUGACAUUUUUAGAUGUGGCUACACUCUGUGGGCCGGAAGUCGAAUUCCCUGGAGGGCUAGAGCUCUCAGUAUUUUGGACAUAUGUGAAGUCAGCACAGGGGGCAGGCGGUAAGUUAACUUGAAGAGAAUUCCAGUUACAAAUUUAGCUCAGCUUCUAAAAAACACUCCCAUCGAAGAGAGAUUCCUGGUUGCUGUGGAACUGCGUCCCCUGUGGGAUUUUCCUUGUGGAGUUAACUAGACACAGUUGUUACUAGGUAGCGGGACAACAGAUUUGCUUAAGAUCUCUUCGAUUUUGACAGUUUGAUGAUGGGUGACUUAUGUGGUAUUGUGGACAUCUGUUGGCUUUAUAUUUUGCCUGCCAAGCAUCCAUACUUUCUUUUUUCUGGUAUCCAUACUCAAUUUUUCUUCUGGUUCACCACCUAUACCGGGUUGAAUAAUGCCUCCCUCCCCACCCCAAUUCAUGUCUACUCGGAAGCUCAGCAUGUGACUUUAUUUGGAAAUAAGAGUCUUUGUGGAUAUAGCUAGGAUGAGGUCAUCCUGGAUUAGGGGGGGUCCUAAGUUCAAGGACUGGUGUUACCAUGAGAAGACACAGAGAAGGAAGGAGAGGCAGAGACUGGAAUGAAAUAACUGGAAGGGAAAGAACACGGAGGAUCGGGAUUGUCAGCGCCUCCAGGAGCUAGGAGAGAGGCCUGGAACGGGCUCUGCCUCAGAACCUCCAGCAGGAACCAACUCUUUGGACACCUUGAUGUUGGGCUUCUGGCCUCCAGGACUGGGAGAAGAUGCAUUUCUGUUGUUUAAGUCCUCCAGUUUGUGGUAUUUGUUAUGGCAGCCCUAGCAAAUUAAUAUACCUCCCAUUUACCCUGUCAAAAUGAUCCGGGGGCUAGUCUCUGUUGUGCUGGGCUCCUAUUAACUUCGGUAGGGAAGGCAUUAGGUUCAGGAGGAUGAGGAAGAGACCCAGAGUCCUCAAAUGAGACAUGGGGUUUUAUUAGCAGGAAGCUUACAUACACAGUGGUCCAGUGGUGGUGGGCUGGGCAGGAGAACCACAACUGCUUCCAAAAGCAUGUGGUUUGUACAGCAUUUUCACCUAGCACCCUCCCUGUAACAAUCUCCACCUGGCAACCCUCGUUUAACUCAAAACAAAGGGCCUCAAUGUCCUGCACGGGCCCUUUACGUUCCAUGCGUCAGGCUGGGG
rnacentral:lncRNA from 1 species